GGUUAAGCGACUAAGCGUACACGGUGGAUGCCCUGGCAGUCAGAGGCGAUGAAGGACGUGCUAAUCUGCGAUAAGCGUCGGUGAGGUGAUAUGAACCGUUAUAACCGGCGAUUUCCGAAUGGGGAAACCCAGUGUGUUUCUACACACUAUCAUUAACUGAAUCCAUAGGUUAAUGAGGCGAACCGGGGGAACUGAAACAUCUAAGUACCCCGAGGAAAAGAAAUCAACCGAGAUUCCCCCAGUAGCGGCGAGCGAACGGGGAGGAGCCCAGAGCCUGAAUCAGUGUGUGUGUUAGUGGAAGCGUCUGGAAAGGCGUGCGAUACAGGGUGACAGCCCCGUACACAAAAAUGCACAUAUUGUGAGCUCGAUGAGUAGGGCGGGACACGUGGUAUCCUGUCUGAAUAUGGGGGGACCAUCCUCCAAGGCUAAAUACUCCUGACUGACCGAUAGUGAACCAGUACCGUGAGGGAAAGGCGAAAAGAACCCCGGCGAGGGGAGUGAAAAAGAACCUGAAACCGUGUACGUACAAGCAGUGGGAGCCUCUUAAUGGGGUGACUGCGUACCUUUUGUAUAAUGGGUCAGCGACUUAUAUUCUGUAGCAAGGUUAACCGAAUAGGGGAGCCGAAGGGAAACCGAGUCUUAACUGGGCGUUAAGUUGCAGGGUAUAGACCCGAAACCCGGUGAUCUAGCCAUGGGCAGGUUGAAGGUUGGGUAACACUAACUGGAGGACCGAACCGACUAAUGUUGAAAAAUUAGCGGAUGACUUGUGGCUGGGGGUGAAAGGCCAAUCAAACCGGGAGAUAGCUGGUUCUCCCCGAAAGCUAUUUAGGUAGCGCCUCGUGAAUUCAUCUCCGGGGGUAGAGCACUGUUUCGGCAAGGGGGUCAUCCCGACUUACCAACCCGAUGCAAACUGCGAAUACCGGAGAAUGUUAUCACGGGAGACACACGGCGGGUGCUAACGUCCGUCGUGAAGAGGGAAACAACCCAGACCGCCAGCUAAGGUCCCAAAGUCAUGGUUAAGUGGGAAACGAUGUGGGAAGGCCCAGACAGCCAGGAUGUUGGCUUAGAAGCAGCCAUCAUUUAAAGAAAGCGUAAUAGCUCACUGGUCGAGUCGGCCUGCGCGGAAGAUGUAACGGGGCUAAACCAUGCACCGAAGCUGCGGCAGCGACACUAUGUGUUGUUGGGUAGGGGAGCGUUCUGUAAGCCUGUGAAGGUGGCCUGUGAGGGUUGCUGGAGGUAUCAGAAGUGCGAAUGCUGACAUAAGUAACGAUAAAGCGGGUGAAAAGCCCGCUCGCCGGAAGACCAAGGGUUCCUGUCCAACGUUAAUCGGGGCAGGGUGAGUCGACCCCUAAGGCGAGGCCGAAAGGCGUAGUCGAUGGGAAACAGGUUAAUAUUCCUGUACUUGGUGUUACUGCGAAGGGGGGACGGAGAAGGCUAUGUUGGCCGGGCGACGGUUGUCCCGGUUUAAGCGUGUAGGCUGGUUUUCCAGGCAAAUCCGGAAAACCAAGGCUGAGGCGUGAUGACGAGGCACUACGGUGCUGAAGCGACAAAUGCCCUGCUUCCAGGAAAAGCCUCUAAGCAUCAGGUAACAUCAAAUCGUACCCCAAACCGACACAGGUGGUCAGGUAGAGAAUACCAAGGCGCUUGAGAGAACUCGGGUGAAGGAACUAGGCAAAAUGGUGCCGUAACUUCGGGAGAAGGCACGCUGAUAUGUAGGUGAAGCGACUUGCUCGUGGAGCUGAAAUCAGUCGAAGAUACCAGCUGGCUGCAACUGUUUAUUAAAAACACAGCACUGUGCAAACACGAAAGUGGACGUAUACGGUGUGACGCCUGCCCGGUGCCGGAAGGUUAAUUGAUGGGGUUAGCGGCAACGCGAAGCUCUUGAUCGAAGCCCCGGUAAACGGCGGCCGUAACUAUAACGGUCCUAAGGUAGCGAAAUUCCUUGUCGGGUAAGUUCCGACCUGCACGAAUGGCGUAAUGAUGGCCAGGCUGUCUCCACCCGAGACUCAGUGAAAUUGAACUCGCUGUGAAGAUGCAGUGUACCCGCGGCAAGACGGAAAGACCCCGUGAACCUUUACUAUAGCUUGACACUGAACAUUGAGCCUUGAUGUGUAGGAUAGGUGGGAGGCUUUGAAGUGUGGACGCCAGUCUGCAUGGAGCCGACCUUGAAAUACCACCCUUUAAUGUUUGAUGUUCUAACGUGGGCCCCUAAUCCGGGGUUGCGGACAGUGUCUGGUGGGUAGUUUGACUGGGGCGGUCUCCUCCUAAAGAGUAACGGAGGAGCACGAAGGUUGGCUAAUCCUGGUCGGACAUCAGGAGGUUAGUGCAAUGGCAUAAGCCAGCUUGACUGCGAGCGUGACGGCGCGAGCAGGUGCGAAAGCAGGUCAUAGUGAUCCGGUGGUUCUGAAUGGAAGGGCCAUCGCUCAACGGAUAAAAGGUACUCCGGGGAUAACAGGCUGAUACCGCCCAAGAGUUCAUAUCGACGGCGGUGUUUGGCACCUCGAUGUCGGCUCAUCACAUCCUGGGGCUGAAGUAGGUCCCAAGGGUAUGGCUGUUCGCCAUUUAAAGUGGUACGCGAGCUGGGUUUAGAACGUCGUGAGACAGUUCGGUCCCUAUCUGCCGUGGGCGCUGGAGAACUGAGGGGGGCUGCUCCUAGUACGAGAGGACCGGAGUGGACGCAUCACUGGUGUUCGGGUUGUCAUGCCAAUGGCACUGCCCGGUAGCUAAAUGCGGAAGAGAUAAGUGCUGAAAGCAUCUAAGCACGAAACUUGCCCCGAGAUGAGUUCUCCCUGACUCCUUGAGAGUCCUGAAGGAACGUUGAAGACGACGACGUUGAUAGGCCGGGUGUGUAAGCGCAGCGAUGCGUUGAGCUAACCGGUACUAAUGAACCGUGAGGCUUAACCUU
rnacentral:rRNA from 1 species